UUAGAUACCCCACUAUGCCCGGGCCCUAAAUCUAGAUGUUUAUAAUAACCAAAACAUCCGCCCGGGUACUACGAGCACAAACGCUUAAAACCCUAAGGACUUGGCGGUGCCCCAAACCCACCUAGAGGAGCCUGUUCUA
rnacentral:rRNA from 1 species